rnacentral:lncRNA from 1 species
UUAGUUUAACUCUUUUCCUAACUUAGGUUGUUGAGAAACAGCAGCGGUAGCCAACAGAGUUACCUGAAAAGAUGGAGAACUCAGUAUCUUGACUGUCCAACACUGUAGCCACUGUAGAUUUGGCCAUGGACUGCUGAACGUCUAGCCACUGUGACUGAAGAAGUGAAGUUUUAAUUUUAUUGAAGUUUUUAUAAAUUUAAAGGCCCCAUAAUCGUUGUCAAGAAG